UUACAGUAACUUGUUUAUAUUUAUCAGCAAAAUCUUCAAGUGGCCCUAGGAGAGAACAGGCAUGCCAUUCACAGAGCACAACGGUGGUAUGAUGCCACAGAAAAGGCUAAAGGCUACACUGUGGGUCCAGAACUUCAGUCUGACUUGGAGACAAGGGAACGGUUAACAAGGCCUCUGGUUAGAGUCUACCAACGACACCCAGCCACUAACCUUCCUGAGGCACAAGACAUCAUUAAGGGUGCAGGAGCUCUUGAUCAUUCCCUGAUGACAACCAGCCGGAACAUAGCCCUCAUGGGAAUGGCUAGAAGCCGUCUUCAGGAUGAUAUUCAUCAUAAGAAAGCCGGAGCGAGCGUAGACUCUGCCGUAGUGCGCAUGCGCAGACGCCUAGCCAAUCAUCGCUGGGUGAUGGGUAGUGUGUAGAAGAAUCUUGCUGAAAAGUCAGAAAAAAAAACACCAAAAUGUGAUUUAAAAAUUCAAAUUGUAUGCAAUACCGUGUCUUUAAUUAAUGCUGUGCUCUUUAUAUCAAUAAAUAUAUGCAAUCAGUAAA